rnacentral:tRNA from 1 species
GCAACAUAGCUUAGUUUGUAGAGCAGGAGACUCUUAAUCUCAGGGCUGUGGGUUCAAGUCUCACGUUGGGCA